rnacentral:rRNA from 1 species
CCUACGGGAGGCAGCAGUGGGGAAUAUUGGACAAUGGGCGCAAGCCUGAUCCAGCAAUGCCGCGUGAGUGAUGAAGGCCUUAGGGUUGUAAAGCUCUUUUACCAGGGAUGAUAAUGACAGUACCUGGAGAAUAAGCUCCGGCUAACUCCGUGCCAGCAGCCGCGGUAAUACGGAGGGAGCUAGCGUUGUUCGGAAUUACUGGGCGUAAAGCGUACGUAGGCGGUUAUUCAAGUCAGAGGUGAAAGCCCGGGGCUCAACCCCGGAACUGCCUUUGAAACUAGGUAGCUAGAAUCUUGGAGAGGUCAGUGGAAUUCCGAGUGUAGAGGUGAAAUUCGUAGAUAUUCGGAAGAACACCAGUGGCGAAGGCGACUGACUGGACAAGUAUUGACGCUGAGGUACGAAAGCGUGGGGAGCAAACAGGAUUAGAUACCCUGGUAGUCCACGCCGUAAACGAUGAUAACUAGCUGUCCGGUCACUUGGUGACUGGGUGGCGCAGCUAACGCAUUAAGUUAUCCGCCUGGGGAGUACGGUCGCAAGAUUAAAACUUAAAUGAAUUGACGG